CCUCUUCUUCGGAAGAGGUGGGAAGUGGCGAACGGGUGAGUAACACGUUGGUGACCUACCCCGAGGAGGGGAAUAACCGUGGGAAACGACGGCUAAUACCCCGGAGGUCUAAGGGCCUAGAAGCCCUAAGACUAAAGCGUAAGCGCCUCGGGAGGGGCCUGCGAGCUAUCAGCUAGUUGGUGAGGUAAAGGCUCACCAAGGCGAAGACGGCUAGGGGGCGUGAGAGCGUGGCCCCCCACAAUGGAACUGAGAAACGGUCCAUACUCCUACGGGAGGCAGCAGUGAGGAAUAUUGCCCAAUGGGGGAAACCCUGAGGCAGCAACGCCGCGUGGAUGACGAAGGCCUUCGGGUCGUAAAAUCCUUUUCUGUGGGAAGAGGAAGGACGGUACCACAGGAAUAAGUUCCGGCUAACUACGUGCCAGCAGCCGCGGUAAAACGUAGGGGACGAGCGUUAUCCGGAUUUACUGGGCGUAAAGCGCUUGUAGGUGGCUGGGUAAGUUGGACGUGAAAGCUCCUGGCUUAACUGGGAGAGGUCGUGCAAAACUGCCUGGCUAGAGGAUGAGAGAGGAGAGCGGAAUUCCCGGUGUAGUGGUGGAAUGCGUAGAUAUCGGGAGGAACACCAGUGGCGAAGGCGGCUCUCUGGCUCGUACCUGACACUGAGAAGCGAAAG
rnacentral:rRNA from 1 species